CGUGCCUAAUACAUGCAAGUCGAGCGGACCGACGGGAGCUUGCUCCCUUAGGUCAGCGGCGGACGGGUGAGUAACACGUGGGUAACCUGCCUGUAAGACUGGGAUAACUCCGGGAAACCGGGGCUAAUACCGGAUGCUUGAUUGAACCGCAUGGUUCCAAUCAUAAAAGGUGGCUUUCAGCUACCACUUACAGAUGGACCCGCGGCGCAUUAGCUAGUUGGUGAGGUAACGGCUCACCAAGGCGACGAUGCGUAGCCGACCUGAGAGGGUGAUCGGCCACACUGGGACUGAGACACGGCCCAGACUCCUACGGGAGGCAGCAGUAGGGAAUCUUCCGCAAUGGACGAAAGUCUGACGGAGCAACGCCGCGUGAGUGAUGAAGGUUUUCGGAUCGUAAAACUCUGUUGUUAGGGAAGAACAAGUACCGUUCGAAUAGGGCGGUACCUUGACGGUACCUAACCAGAAAGCCACGGCUAACUACGUGCCAGCAGCCGCGGUAAUACGUAGGUGGCAAGCGUUGUCCGGAAUUAUUGGGCGUAAAGCGCGCGCAGGCGGUUUCUUAAGUCUGAUGUGAAAGCCCCCGGCUCAACCGGGGAGGGUCAUUGGAAACUGGGGAACUUGAGUGCAGAAGAGGAGAGUGGAAUUCCACGUGUAGCGGUGAAAUGCGUAGAGAUGUGGAGGAACACCAGUGGCGAAGGCGACUCUCUGGUCUGUAACUGACGCUGAGGCGCGAAAGCGUGGGGAGCGAACAGGAUUAGAUACCCUGGUAGUCCACGC
rnacentral:rRNA from 1 species